rnacentral:misc_RNA from 1 species
CAGGAAACAUGAUGGAAAAGAAUGGCAACUUAUUUAUAGUUUAAACCCUGUUGUUAAAGGGUUAUAUAUGGUUGGUCGCUAGGUCUUGAACUUCACCAGAAUGGAAUUUUAGCAAUUUUUAUAAUUUAUAGAACAGAAAUUUGAGUGGAAAACCCCAAAGGCCCACAUUAGACUUCAAGUUGUUGUAGAAAAGCUCUAAAUUGAACUUAUAGUUUUAAGGGAUUG